rnacentral:lncRNA from 1 species
UUUUUUCUUGUUGUUUUCAAUCUAAAUAAGUGAUUUUUCACAUAGAUUAAGUUUUUUAGUUGUUUUUCUUUUUUAUUUGUGUGAUAUCGUCGUCUGAGUGCGGCGCUUGUGUUGAUCGUCGUCUUGGUACGACGUUGUUGAAUUCUCCGUCUUGUUACGGUGUUCGUUUAAUUCAUAUUGAAAGAUCAUCUUCAAUCAAUUGCAGAUUCAAUUAAUGAUUUGGGCAUCAACGUUGCAGAUCCGG